CGCCCAACGUGGGAUUCGAACCCACGAUUCUGAGAUUGAGUCUCAUACUCUACCGACUGAACUAACUGGGC